ensembl:lncRNA
CUCCCUACCUCCCAUGUAGAAGAAUUACAGUCUCGACUCUGCGUUUUUCUUUCCCACAUCAAGAUCCCUACCCUAGGCCUGCUGAAUUGGAAACCCUUCUAGUAUCAGCCCCGUUGGUGGUAGCAGGGUGUGUGGAUUCUGCGGGGAAGAUCUCCACUACUAAGCUCCACUACUGCGUGGGACCAUUAAUGAAUGCCUUAAAGACUCUGGUUAAGGUUGUAUCUUAACAUCGCCUUGCUCAAGCUCUAGAAUAUUACCAUCUUCCUCAAAACUAUUUGGUCUCUCCAUGUUCGAUAUAUUCUUCUGGUAAAUAAGGUAAGAACUUGCAGUAAGUUCACACAAAGCUGAUAAAUAUCAGUCGGU